rnacentral:tRNA from 1 species
UGCUUAGCUCAGCUGGUUCAGAGCGGCUGCCUUACAAGCAGCGGGUCGGGGGUUCGAAUCCCUCAGCAC